rfam:Rachicladosporium antarcticum strain CCFEE 5527 scaffold_2, whole genome shotgun sequence.
GGCUCUAUGGUCUAGUGGUAUGAUUGUCGCUUUGGGAUUGAUUCUUGACUGUGACAGGCCUCGGGUUCGAAUCCCGAUGGAGCCC